UUAGAUAUUUGAUUAUGGAUUUAAGGUAUAUAAACCCUUGAAAAAAACAUCAAAGGGGAAGUGUUUGAGGAAGUGAACAGAUUUGGUUUGUUUACGGCGUAGACGAUUCGAACGUCCUCAAGUUGUGAUUGAACUGUUUUUGGAAAAAUACCAAGGUUUGUGUAUAAACUUGUACUCUUUUUGCUUGCUGGAAAUAUGUUGAAAUAACCUGAUAUUUUGUUUUUAUUGUCUUCAAUUUAUAUUGUUUUAUUCGUAUUAUAUUAACUCUUGUCAGAAAUUUGCUAAAUCGCCCAUUCGUACGGAUUGUUUGAUCAUUUUGCAUUCUUGUUGGGACUUUGUCCUUCUUGUGGCAGUGAUUUGGUCACUCACUUGGCAUGCCUCUUAAUUCGGAUCUUUUGCCAUCUUGACUUUGGAUUUGUAGUUCGUCUUGGAUUAUGGAACUUGUCCGUGUUAAGUACGAACUAGGAAACCAUUUUUAAUAUGGUUCUUGAUUCUCUUGUCUAUUGGGUUUUGACCCUACUUGAUUUGGGGCUUCGGUCCAUCUUGAUAUUUGAUUAUGCUUAGUGUGAUGGCAUGACGUACAUAUUGGGCGAAAAAUGGAUAAUUGGUAUACUUCCUUAAAUUGAUAGUAUACACUUUCUAGACUCUUGAGCAUUGUUAUUAAUAUUUGAAAACACUUCAAAGUUUGAUAUUGGUAUGUUUGAUAUAUUUGUUCACUUGUUUUAAAUUAUGUUAAAUUGAGCUAAUUAUGACUGAAAAGGGGAAUUGGAGAAUUUAAUGACUCCAAGCCUAAAGUUUAUAUACCACUAAGCUUUAUGCUUAGCGAUAGUUGUUUUCUAUCGUAGGAAAUAUUCGGGAUGAAAUCUGAAGAUGUCCAGGUUGAAUUGGUCUUUUGGAAGAACUUAUGAAGAUCACAUUUGCAUAUGCACCUUGGUUUUGCAUAGUUUUGGGACGUAUACAUGAUGUACAGGAUAUACAGAAUAUAUACAUAUAUAUAUAUAUAUAUAUAUAUAUAUAUAUAUAUAUAUAUAUGUCACACUUAUGUUAUUUGGAGGCUUGUUGGUUUUUAAAGACCAAAAAAAAUCUUGUAACUUGAAUUUGUAACCUACUUUAUUGUAUUAGGGUAUUUUAAUGACUCAA
rnacentral:lncRNA from 1 species